AGCCUGGCCAAAAUAGCAAGAUCCUAUCUCUAUUAAAAAUAUAAAAAUUGGAGAGACAGUAGGACAGAGGAAUGGGAAAUGACAUAAGGAUUGCAGACACAAGGUUUCAAGAUGGCAGUGGCUGCGGGGUUGACAGGGAGGCCGAGUUGAAAGCCCUUACCAAGUGAAAGAGGUCGGGAAUCGCCUCUUCUCUACUUCUCGCAGUCCUGAGAGCACAGCAGAAGUGUUUUGCUUUUCUUUUUUUUAAACAAACAAGUAAACUAUACAAAUUGUCAACAUGGGAAGGAGAUCUACAUCAUCCACCAAGAAUGGAAAAUUUAUGAACCUCACAGACCAAGCCUGAAAGGAAGACUGGAAGAGAGAAUUGAAGAACAAAAGCAGCUCAUGAUGGUUCGAACUGCAGUUUUAAAGAUGAGGGAUCCCAAACAGAUUAUCUGAGACAUGGAGAAAUGGGAUGAAAUGGAGUUUACCCCAGUGCAACAGCCACAAUUAAAUGAGAAACUACUGAAAGACAAGUGUAAAAAGCUGCGUGAAACUUUUGAAAGUAUUCUACAACUCUAUGUAAAAGAGAAUCCAGAUAUUUACAAAAAAUUGAGAAAGCUAGAGUAGAUUAUGAACAGAAGAGGGCUCAACCAAUAUUUUGAUGCUGUCAGGAAUGCUCAGCAUGUGGAAGUGGAGACUAGUAUUCCCUUGCCAGAUGUGCCGCAUGCUCCUUCCAACAUUUUGAUCCAGGACAUUCCAUUUCCUGGUGCCCAGCCACCCUCCAUCUUUAAAGAAAAUCUCAGCCUAUGGGCCUCCAACUUGGGCAGUUUCUACCCUUCUUCUUCUUGGGACAUGGUGCUCCACGUUUGCCCCCGGCAGGAAACCUCUUGGCCCUCCCCAUGGUCUACCUCCUCCUCAAGUUGUGCAGAUGUAUGGCUGUAAAGUGGGUUUUGCCCUAGAUCUUCCCCCUCGUAGGUGAGAUGAAGACACGUUGCAUAGUCUUGAACUUGCCCAGUGAGGUCAUGAUGAUGAUGUUUUUAGCACCAGAUGAUGGCUAUCCUGAGGACAUGGAUGAAGAUAAGCAUGAUGAUAGUACUGAUGACAGUAACACCGGCAGAUCAGAUGGAGAAAGUGUGCACUGUGAUGAUGGUGAGAGAGGCAAUAGUGAAGAAAAGAAGUUAGGUCUGAGUGUACGGUUUGCAGAUAUGCCUGGAAUAUCAAGGAAGAAAAAGACAAACAUGAAGGACCCGACUCUUCUUCAAGCCAUGAAGAACCUGCUUCAUAUGGCAGGUCAAGAAGUCUCUGAGGAGGGAUGGAAAGUAGAGGAACUUUCAGAGGACAGUGAUGAUGAUGAUUCUGAUGACUUUGAAGAAGAAAAGAGAUUAAAAAACAGCAUAAAGAGGAAUCUCAUUCUGAUGGCACAUCCACUGCUUCUUCACAGCAGCAGGCUCCCCCACAGUCUGUUUCUCUUUCUCAGAUAUAAGGAUGUCCCAUGCCAGGACCACUAUCUCUUGGAUCACCACCUGCUUCACUAUUAUGGCCUCCUGGGCCACCUAUGGGCCUUCCCCAUGGACCACCUCCAGGAGGUCUUCCAUUUCUGAGACCACCUAGAAUGCCAGGACUCCAAGAGCCUUUACCCUGACUUUUACCUCCAGGACCACCACCCUGGCCCUCCCCCAGGUCCUGCUGGUCCCCCUCCUUGGGGACCCCCACCAAGGUUACCUCUGCCUGCACCUUCAGGUAUUCCUCCACCUUGUUCUGGCAUGAGGCACACACCUUUGGUGCCUCCCCUUGGACCUGCCCCCCUGGGCUUUUCACACCAGCUCCCUUGUCAAACCCUAGGGUUUUAAGUACUCCUCCCAACUUGAUUCAGCAACCCAAGGCAGAUAAUGUGAGUGCAGUCACCAUUGAGAAGAAACCACAGCAAACGUCAGUGCCAAACCACAGGUAAUGAUCCCAAGGCAGAGAUUACUCAAUUUGUGCCCAAUGCACUGAGAGUAUGUUAGAUCUGGUCCUUCUGUUCCUGUCACAGUACAAACUAAGGAUGAUGUAGAUGAGGCUUUCAUGAAAUAGAUGGAAGGGCUACUGUGACAGCUUUUGAUGCCAGAACAGGCUUCUGUUCACAACAGUGGCCCAUAGAGAAAGAGGCUCUUAUUAAACUUAGAUGAAAGAGCUGCUUCUAUUGUCAGGGUAUUUUCUAAUUUCAGUUCAAGGAAUAUCCUAAAAUUUAGCCUUGUUCAGAAUUUGCUGCACAUAAAAUAGGGUAUUUCAUUCAGAAUAGAUCAGUUAUUGAAGCAGUGCUGCUAACAUGCAUUCCCUUUCACACCAACAUUUGCACACUGUUUCUUCCCCUUCUCCAGUUCUUUGGAAAUUUGUGAUGGGGGGAUCUUAGUUACUUAUUUGUUUUGACUCUCUUCUUAUGUGCUGUGGGCACUGGAGUAGAGAUUUCUGAAAAGCCAGUUCAUUUCAUCUU